rnacentral:ncRNA from 1 species
UUAAUUGGAUUGAGCCUUGGUAUGGAAACCUACCAAGUGAUAACUUUCAAAUUCAGAGAAACCCUGGAAUUACAAAUGGGCAAUCCUGAGCCAAAUCCUGUUUUCUGAAAACAGACAAGUAUUCAGAAAGUGAUAAUAAAAAAGGAUAGGUGCAGAGACUCAAUGGAAGCUGUUCUAACAAAUGGAGUUGGCUGCGAUGCGUUAGUAAAGGAAUCCUUCCAUCGAAACUCCAGGAAGGAUGAAGAAUAAACCUAUAUAUACGUAUACGUACUGAAAUACUAUCUCCAAACCAAAUGAUUAAUGACGACCCGAAUAUUUUUUUGAUAGAUCUUUUGAAAAAUGAAAAUUAAUCGGACGAGAAUAAAGAUAGAGUCCCAUUNUACAUGUCAAUAUCGACAACAANGAAAUUUAUAGUAAGAGGAAAAUCCGUCGACUUUAGAAAUCGUGAGGGUUCAAGUCCCUCUAUCCCCA